UACGAAGGGGGCUAGCGUUGCUCGGAAUCACUGGGCGUAAAGCGCACGUAGGCGGAUUGCUAAGUCAGGGGUGAAAUCCUGGAGCUCAACUCCAGAACUGCCUUUGAUACUGGCGACCUUGAGUCCGGGAGAGGUGAGUGGAACUGCGAGUGUAGAGGUGAAAUUCGUAGAUAUUCGCAAGAACACCAGUGGCGAAGGCGGCUCACUGGCCCGGUAC
rnacentral:rRNA from 1 species